UACGUAGGUGGCAAGCGUUGUCCGGAAUUAUUGGGCGUAAAGCGCGCGCAGGUGGUUUCUUAAGUCUGAUGUGAAAGCCCACGGCUCAACCGUGGAGGGUCAUUGGAAACUGGGGAACUUGAGUGCAGGAGAGAAGAGUGGAAUUCCACGUGUAGCGGUGAAAUGCGCAGAGAUGUGGAGGAACACCAGUGGCGAAGGCGACUCUUUGGCCUGUAACUGACACUGAGGCGCGAAAGCGUGGGGAGCAAACAGG
rnacentral:rRNA from 1 species